GGAGAGUACAGCUCAACGUGGUAGAGCGCAUGCUUAGCAUGCAUGAGGUCCUAGGUUCAAUCCCCAGUACCUCCU
rnacentral:tRNA from 1 species